ensembl:lncRNA
AUGUUCGUUUCUAGAGGAAGCAGGAUAGCGCGAGGCAGGAAAGGCGGCGUCAGCGGCACCCAAAGGAAACGGGCGCGCGGGGGUUCGCGGCGACCUGGCCUGCUUAGGGGCUCCCGCUCCAGUCCGGCCCGAGGCUCGGAGCACCUCACCCGGGGCGGGGGAGGGAUCCACCUCAGGCCUCCUGGUAUGAGUGCUUCUAGUGCUCCCUCCCACCUCCGCCAAAGAUGGGGAAUGGGGAGAAGAGAAAAGCCGAACACCAGGAGCUGCGGCAGGAAAGAAACAACGUCUUGUUUUUAAGUACCCUACUGUGAUCACAGGAAGAAAAGGUUGGAUCCUGUCUGGCCAUGCAGAUGAGGGAAAUACUUUGAGGAUGACAAAGAGAUGGAUCCCUGACCACCUGAUUUGCCCAUAGUGUAUUGUUUUAUGAGAAGGAAAUAAAGUUUGAUAUUGUUUAAGUCAUUAUAUUUUUAAAUAUUAUUAUAGCCCAGCCUUUAUCCUAAUUAAUUCAUCUCCCCUAUGAUGUUGUUAAGUUUACUUCAGUUAAGUCUCUCAGUCAUGUCCGACUCUUUGCAACCCCAUGGACUGCAGCACACCAGGCUUCCCUGUCCAUCACCAACUCACGGAGCUUGCUCAAACUCAUGUCCAUUGAAUCAGUGUUGCCAUCCAACCAUCUCAUCCUCUGUUGUCCCCUUCUCCUCCCACCUUCAAUCUUUCCCAGCAUCAGAGUCUUUUCCAGUGAGUUAGUUCUUCACAUCAGGUGGCCAAAGUAUUGGAGCUUCAGGUUCAACAUCAGUCCUUCCAAUGAAUAUUCAGGACUGAUUUCCUUUAGGACUGACUGACUGGAUCUUCUUGCAGUCCAGGCGACUCUCAAGAGUCUUCUCCAACACCACAGUUCAAAAGAAAAAAUUCUUCGGUGCUCAGCUUUAUGGUCCAACUCUCACAUCCAUACAUGACUACUGAAAAAACCAUAGCUUUGACUAGAUGGACCUUUGUUGGCAAAGUAAUGUCUCUGCUUUUUGAUAUACUGUCUAGGUUGGUCAUAGCUUUUCUUCCAAGGAUCAAGUGUCUUUUUAAUUUCAUGGCUGCAGUCACCAUCUGCAGUGAUUUUGGAGCGCAAGAAAAGAAAGUCUGUCACUGUUUCCAUUGUUUCCCCAUCUAUUUGCCAUGAAGUGAUGGGACCAGAUACCAUGAUCUUCGUUUUCUGAAUGUUAAGUUUCAAGCCAGCUUUUUCACUCUUCUCUUUCAGUUUCAUCAAGAGGCUCUUUAGUUCCUCUUUGCUUUUUGCCAUAAGAGUGGUGUAAUCAGCAUAUCUGAAGUUAUUGAUAUUACUCCCGGCAAUCCUGAUUCCAGCUUGUGCUUUUGUCCUUAAGGAAUUGCAAAUUAAAACAAGAUACCAGUGCACACCCACUAGAAUCCAAAACACUGAAAAACACCAAAUACAGUUGAGAAUGUAAAGCAAAAGAAACCAUCAUUCAUUGCUGGUGCAAAUAUAAAUUGAUAUAGCCACUUUGGAAGAUAGUCUGGUGUGCAUGUAUGCUAAGUUGUUAGGUCAUGUCCAACAUUUGUGACCCUAUGGACCAUAGCCCGCCAGGCUCCUCUAACCAUGGGAUUUUCCAGACAAGAAUACUGGAGUGGGUUGCCAUUUCUUACACUCCAGAGAAUCUUUCCGACCCAGGGAUUGAACCCACAUCUCUCAGGUCUCCUGCAUUGGGAGGCAGGUUCUUUACCUCUAGCUCCACCUGGGAAACCCAGUAU